AAAACUAUCUUCAAACCUCAAACACCACCCUCCUCUGCGAUAC
rnacentral:misc_RNA from 1 species